CGUAUCACCCAAGACAACUUUGCGGAGUUGACGAUUGACGGAGCGAAGCGACGUCAAAGCGUUCAUUAAAGUCGAGUUGGCUUAGGGAUACGUUCGUUGGGUAGGGGAGCGUUCUGUAAGCCUGUGAAGGUGGCCUGUGAGGGUUGCUGGAGGUAUCAGAAGUGCGAAUGCUGACAUAAGUAACGAUAAAGCGGGUGAAAAGCCCGCUCGCCGGAAGACCAAGGGUUCCUGUCCAACGUUAAUCGGGGCAGGGUGAGUCGACCCCUAAGGCGAGGCCGAAAGGCGUAGUCGAUGGGAAACGGGUUAAUAUUCCCGUACUUGGUGUUACUGCGAAGGGGGGACGGAGAAGGCUAUGUUGGCCGGGCGACGGUUGUCCCGGUUUAAGCGUGUAGGUGUGUGUUCCAGGUAAAUCCGGUUCACUUUAACACUGAGGCGUGACGACGAGGCACUACGGUGCUGAAGCAACAAAUGCCCUGCUUCCAGGAAAAGCCUCUAAGCAUCAGGUAACAUCAAAUCGUACCCCAAACCGACACAGGUGGUCAGGUAGAGAAUACCAAGGCGCUUGAGAGAACUCGGGUGAAGGAACUAGGCAAAAUGGUGCCGUAACUUCGGGAGAAGGCACGCUGACACGUAGGUGAAGUGAUUUACUCAUGGAGCUGAAGUCAGUCGAAGAUACCAGCUGGCUGCAACUGUUUAUUAAAAACACAGCACUGUGCAAACACGAAAGUGGACGUAUACGGUGUGACGCCUGCCCGGUGCCGGAAGGUUAAUUGAUGGGGUCAGCGCAAGCGAAGCUCCUGAUCGAAGCCCCGGUAAACGGCGGCCGUAACUAUAACGGUCCUAAGGUAGCGAAAUUCCUUGUCGGGUAAGUUCCGACCUGCACGAAUGGCGUAAUGAUGGCCAGGCUGUCUCCACCCGAGACUCAGUGAAAUUGAACUCGCUGUGAAGAUGCAGUGUACCCGCGGCAAGACGGAAAGACCCCGUGAACCUUUACUAUAGCUUGACACUGAACAUUGAGCCUUGAUGUGUAG
rnacentral:rRNA from 2 species